AGGAGAGAUCAGCUCAAAGCUCACUUUUCUCUCGAGCUGGGCGUGGCCCUGUGACCAGGCUCUGGCUGAUUAGAGUGUUCUGUGGGACUUCCAGGAAGGCUUCUUAGGCCGAGGGGGCUGGGGGGUGGGCUGAGGUUAUCUUUGCUGCUGUUUCUCUACACUGACUGUAGUACAGAUAGAAGAGCAGGCAGCUCUCGGUGUAAUCCUGCUGGAUUGUGAGGAAUUUUCAGAUAAACCCUAUGUUAUGCUUGUGGCCAAAGGGAACUUUUAUUCAAGUAUCUGUUAUGUAUGGGGCACAGCUAACGACGGUGGUGUGAUCCUAAGGGAGAAAGGAAAGAAGAGCCCGACUUUGAACCGAUGAGGGCUCAGGGUGCUGUGCAGAAGAGGAGGCAGAAGCUUGGAAGAGCCAGAGGUGAUGGAGGACACCAAGGAAAACAGGUCUGCCAGACACUACAGGAUGGCUGCGCAUCUGAGUUCACAGAGACUGGCGCACGCACAGGGCCUGCGUGGCUCUGAGUGAGUCAGGGUCCCAGCACUGGGAGACGGAAGUGGACUUAAGGCCAUACCCCUAACCAGGAAGCUGCCUAAAACUGAUAGCCUUUUACCUCCAACUGAGUCUUACUGGGUGUGUUAAGCACACCCAAGUAAUAGAUGGCCAACACAAAACAUGCUCAGUGUAUGUUUAUUUUUUUUUUGUGGACUCUCUGUGUCAUAUUGUUUUCAUGGGUCUUUUUUGUUGUUGUUGUUGUUGGCUUUUUUGCUUGUACAUAAUGCUUUCUGAUGUUGUGGUGUUUGCGUGCGUUUCUUGUGUUUUUAAUCUGUGUUUUAAUGUUUUGUUUUAUGGUGAGGUAGGGAGGAGAGGAGGAGAGCGCCACUGGAAGACAUUACAUAAAAAUUCUUUGUCAACAGUGAAGAAAGACUGAGAAUUUUUGAUCAUUGUUUUUCCUUUGUGGCUCUACAUGGAUUCCACGGCAAGAUUAAACGUCUUGGCCAAGGUCACAGAAUAGGUGGUAGACACUAAACAGGAAUGCUGAUGGGCUGUUCAUGUCCUGAGGUAUGUUAUUUUUAGUCGUGGGACAGGCUUGAAAAUUCAUCUCUUUGCAUCACUCAGCAUCCUUCCGCCUGCUUUCCCUCCCUCCCCUCCAAAUCUCUCUGUGCUCUCACUCACCGCCCAACUUAUUUGUACUUAGCUAAUUAAAAUGGUAAUGGUUGCUGUAAUAAAUACCCUGAUGGGACAUGGCUUGACCGCUAUCCAAUUGUGGGCGUUUGUCUUGUGCUAUUUGUUUGUGGCUGGUAGAAAGUCUACAGCGGAUGUCUGAAUGGACAGGGCUCUCUGCUCCAGGAGGUGACCUUGAAUCCUAGCUUCAUUUGUUCUGUUGCUCCUGGGUCUUCAACUUCUGCCUUCCCAUGUUGCCCCGGGGCAUCAGAGCGCCUUGUCAUAAGAACACAACACGGAGGAAGACCGCUGAGUUCAAGUGGACCGCGGAGCACCUACUCUGGAAGUGAGCUCUGUUCCAAUUACCUUGCCUGGAACUCUGUCUCGUGGGGGGCCACACCUCACUACACAGUGGUUGGCUGCUUCUCCAGGAAGAAGAAAUGGGCUUGUUGUUUAACCAGACUCCCUGCCUUGGGCACUUUCUCCAGCUUUGGUGUCUGCGGCUCUCUUUGGCCUUUAGAUGGUUGUAAGGGAAUUCCUUGUCCAGCCCCUGCUGUACAAAGGAGUCUUAGACUUCGCCCUGCUUCUCUGAGACGCCUGUUCCAGGCUCUGUGGGAGCCUCGGAGCCCCAAGCCUUCUCCUGUCCAUUGAUAUAGCUUCUCCGGCACCUUGCUUCCCUGUCUCCUAGCUGCAGUCACUACACUGCACUAGAUAGAACUGAGGCCUCAGGGCGCUACAGCCCCCUCCCCGUGCCCCAGGGCCUCUCCCUUUCAGCAGCACCUGAAACAGCAGCUCUGGACCUGACUCCAGCACUCUGUAUACUUAAUUCAUCCUGAAUUUUGCUGUCCUUUCUGCCCCUCCCACCGAAACCCUUGCCCAAGUACUGAUCAUCAAUGCCUCUAUCUUUCCAAUCCCCAAUUAUCCCAAACAGGCUUUGGGCUGAGCUUUCCCUUUGCUGGAAAGCUGGCCCUCAAGUUUCUGCUCAUCGGCUCGGAACUUCUCCAUUUCUUUUCUCUUAGCCGCUCUCUCCAUGACUCCGCGCGUGCGCGCACGUGCAGGGCCCUUUCCUACAGAUAGCGUGAACGACAGGCAUUGCCGGCGCCAUUUCACCUGUAAGUAAAAACAUCUGAAGCGCACAGUGACUUUCAGGCCACAGAACAUACACAGGACAGACUCAGUGCUAGACAAGCAAAAGCCCACCAAGCGUUCAAGUUUCUUCAAGCUCUCUCCAUUUUUUUCAACUCUAUUGCUUGUUUCUACCGAGUCUGUUUCCGCGCAAUUCCCAGUCUCUUACCUCUGUUGCUGUGUCUGGACAAAAACACUGAGUCUCUACCUGUUAAGCUUGACACCACCUGGAGGGGAACACCCCUUGAAGAAGUGUAUGCAGAAUGGCUGAAACUUUGAAAUAAUGAAAAGUUGUUUUGUUUUGUUUUUUUUAAAUUAUCAUCACUUCUAGUGGGGGAAGGGGUAGUGCUAGGGACUCCAACCUAGAGCUUUGGCUGUGCUGGACAAGGGGUCUACCACUGUUACAUGUCCAUUUACCCAAAGAUAUAUGGACUGCUUUAAAAAAAAAAAAGAAUUAAUUUUUUUCGUCACCAAUGGAGUCAGCAAUAUUUUUAGAUCCAGUCUGUUAAAAGUUUGUGCUCUGACUUGUGAACCACAUGAUGGACCACCGAAGGGGACUCGGUUAAGAAGACUUGAUGUGAUGUAUGGGGCUGGAGCGAUGGCUCAGCAGUUAAGAGCACUGACUGUUCUUCCAGAGGUCCUGAGUUCAAUUCCCAGCAGCCACAUGGUGGCUCACAACCAUCUGCAGUGGGAUCUGAUGCCCUCUUCGGGUGUGUCUGAAGACAGUGACAAUGUACUCAGAUACAUUAAAAAAAAUCUUAAGGUAACCCAGACUCAAAAGAUGAAUCAUGGUAUGCACUCACUAAUAAGUGGAUAUUAACCUAGAAAACUGGAAUACCCAAAACAUAACCUACACAUCAAAUGAGGUACAAGAAGAAAGGAAGAGUGGCCCCUUGUUCUGGAAAGACUCAGUGAAGCAGUAUUCAGCAAA